ensembl:snoRNA small nucleolar RNA, C/D box 69
AGCACAAAGCACAUGAUGAGAAAGCACUGAAACUGACUCUGUAUGAAGUGCAUUCAAUCCAAUGCUGAGCUUUGUGGCU